GAUGAACGCUGGCGGCGUGCCUAAUACAUGCAAGUCGAGCGAACGGACGAGAAGCUUGCUUCUCUGAUGUUAGCGGCGGACGGGUGAGUAACACGUGGAUAACCUACCUAUAAGACUGGGAUAAUUUCGGGAAACCGGAGCUAAUACCGGAUAAUAUUUUGAACCGCAUGGUUCAAAAGUGAAAGACGGUCUUGCUGUCACUUAUAGAUGGAUCCGCGCUGCAUUAGCUAGUUGGUAAGGUAACGGCUUACCAAGGCAACGAUGCAUAGCCGACCUGAGAGGGUGGUCGGCCACACUGGAACUGGAACGCGGUCCAGACUCCUACGGGAGGCAGCAGUAGGGAAUCUUCCGCAAUGGGCGAAAGCCUGACGGAGCAACGCGGCGUGAGUGAUAAAGGUCUUCGGAUCGUAAAACUCUGUUAUUAGGGAAGAACAGAUUUGUAAGUAACUGUGCACAUCGUGACGGUACCUAAUCAGAAAGCCACGGCUAACUACGUG
rnacentral:rRNA from 1 species